GACGAACGCUGGCGGCGUGCUUAACACAUGCAAGUCGAACGGAAAGGCCCUGCUUUUGUGGGGUGCUCGAGUGGCGAACGGGUGAGUAACACGUGAGUAACCUGCCCUUGACUUUGGGAUAACUUCAGGAAACUGGGGCUAAUACCGGAUAGGAGCUCCUGCUGCAUGGUGGGGGUUGGAAAGUUUCGGCGGUUGGGGAUGGACUCGCGGCUUAUCAGCUUGUUGGUGGGGUAGUGGCUUACCAAGGCUUUGACGGGUAGCCGGCCUGAGAGGGUGACCGGCCACAUUGGGACUGAGAUACGGCCCAGACUCCUACGGGAGGCAGCAGUGGGGAAUAUUGCACAAUGGGCGGAAGCCUGAUGCAGCAACGCCGCGUGCGGGAUGACGGCCUUCGGGUUGUAAACCGCUUUCGCCUGUGCCGAAGCGUGAGUGACGGUAAUGGGUAAAGAAGCACCGGCUAACUACGUG
rnacentral:rRNA from 1 species